AUGGGAGCAGGAAGUGUCUGGGACCCCGUCCCCCUCCCGCGGCGGUGUAUAAACCCGGGCGGGCCGUCAGAGCGGAGCUUCACAGCAGAGACAAGAGCCCAGAAAGGAGCAGAUGCUAGAUUUGCAAGAUCAGAAGCAGGUCUUGAUCCCCCUGCCCAGGAUGAACCAGACUUGAUGAUGCCACCUUCAGGAGCCACCACACUGUGUGACAGUGGGGCAUUUGGGUCGUCCCUGGGAAGAACAGAUGCGCUGCUGUCACACAUGUCCACCACCACAUGUGACAUUAGUGACGUUAUCCUGAUGUCACAGGAUCCAAGAAUGAUGAUCUGUGAAGAGUUUUCCAAGGUCACCUACUUCUAA
rnacentral:lncRNA from 1 species